GCCAGGCAUGGUGGCGGGUGCCUGUAAUCCCAGCUACUCAGGAGGCUGAGGCAGGAGAAUCACUUGAAUCCGGGAGCUGGAGGUUGCAGUGAGCCAAGAUUGCACCACUGCACUCCAGCUCGGAUAACAGAGUGAGACUCUGUCUCAA
rnacentral:SRP_RNA from 1 species